rnacentral:rRNA from 1 species
AGAGUUUGAUCCUGGCUCAGAACGAACGCUGGCGGCGUGCCUAACACAUGCAAGUCGAACGGAUUUGAGGGGCUUGCUCCUCAAGUUAGUGGCGCACGGGUGAGUAACGCGUAGAUAAUCUGCCCGACGAUCCGGGAUAACACUUCGAAAGGGGUGCUAAUACCGGAUAAGCCCACGGGGUCCUUGGAUCUUGCGGGAAAAGGGGGGGACCUUCGGGCCUUCUGUCGUCGNAUGAGUCUGCGUACCAUUAGCUAGUUGGUAGGGUAAAGGCCUACCAAGGCUACGAUGGNUAGCUGNUCUGAGAGGAUGAUCAGCCACACUGGAACUGAGACACGGUCCAGACUCCUACGGGAGGCAGCAGUGGGGAAUUUUGCGCAAUGGGCCGAAAGCCUGACCGCAGCAACGCCGCGUGAGUGAUGAAGGCUUUCGGCUCGUAAAGCUCUGUCAGGGUGGAAAGAAGUGUAUUGCGGCUAAUAUCCACGAUACUUGGCCGGUACCCCCAAAGGAAGCCACCCGGCUAACUCCGUGCCAGCAGCCGCGGUAAUACGGAGGGUGCGAGCGUUGUUCGGAAUUAUUGGGCGUAAAGCGCGUGUAGGCGGUUUUAUAAGUCUGAUGUGAAAGCCCCGGGCUCAACCUGGGAAGUGCAUUGGAUACUGGAAGACUUGAGUACGGGAGAGGGCAGUGGAAUUCCUAGUGUAGGAGUGAAAUCCGUAGAUAUUAGGAGGAACACCGGUGGCGAAGGCGGCUGCCUGGACCGAUACUGACGCUGAGACGCGAAAGCGUGGGUAGCAAACAGGAUUAGAUACCCUGGUAGUCCACGCCGUAAACGAUGAGUACUAGGUGUUGCGGGUAUUGACCCCUGCAGUGCCGCAGCUAACGCAUUAAGUACUCCGCCUGGGAAGUACGGUCGCAAGACUAAAACUCAAAUGAAUUGACGG